CUGCACGCGCGCUACACUGACACGUUCAACGAGUUGUUGCCUGGACCGAGAGGUUUGGGAAUCUUUUUGAAAUCGUGUCGUGAUAGGGAUAGAUUAUUGCAAUUAUUAAUCUUCAACGAGGAAUUCCUAGUAAACGCAAGUCAUCAGCUUGCAUUGAUUACGUCCCUGCCCUUUGUACACACCGCCCGU
rnacentral:rRNA from 1 species